rnacentral:rRNA from 1 species
UACGGGGGGGGCAAGCGUUGUUCGGAAUUACUGGGCGUAAAGGGCUCGUAGGCGGCCAACUAAGUCGGACGUGAAAUCCCCAGGCUCAACCUGGGAACUGCAUCCGAUACUGGAUGGCUUGAAUUCGGGAGAGGGAUGCAGAAUUCCAGGUGUAGCGGUGAAAUGCGUAGAUAUCUGGAGGAAUACCGGUGGCGAAGGCGGCAUCCUGGACCGGCAUUGACGCUGAGGAGCGAAAGCCAGGGGAGCAAACGGG